UACGUAGGGGGCAAGCGUUGUCCGGAUUUAUUGGGCGUAAAGAGCGUGUAGGCGGCCACACAGGUCAGCUGUGAAAACUCGAGGCUCAACCUCGAGACGCCGGUGGAAACCAUCAGACUAGAGUCCGGAAGAGGAGAGUGGAAUUCCUGGUGUAGCGGUGAAAUGCGCAGAUAUCAGGAAGAACACCCGUGGCUAAGGCGGCUCUCUAGUACGGUACCGACGCUGAGACGCGAAAGCGUGGGGAGCGAACAGG
rnacentral:rRNA from 1 species